CUGCCCCUGUCCCUGGGCUGCGGUGCUGCCUGCAAAGCCCUUUUCUCCUGCAGACGAGAGCUGCUGGGCUCGGGGAAAGGCCACCUCCUGGGUCACAGUGACCGGCUCCGAGCAGCACAGGUCAGCUGGCCGUCCGCUGCCCCUUUGCUUGGCAGACUGCCUUCUUCCAAGCACCUUCCGGAGGCCACCCCUACCUACGUGGAAACGUGCAGUGUCACGGCUGCUCUGGGCACCACUUAACAAGAGGGCCACGUCGGUUCUCAUUCCCAGGUGCGACGCGCACGUGCUGCGCAGGUGAACACCACAAAGCACUGUGCAGAGGAACAGAUCUUAAUUCUUCAUGAUGUACACGCUCUAAUUUAGUUGCAUUUACCUGUGUUCUGAUAACAAGUCGUGUAUGGCAUACAGACAUCCUAAGAGAGUCAAGAUGGAUACAAUGGUCAUAAAACAUGGGUCUGUAAUCCCUAGCACCCACACUGCAGUCUUGCAAUUUCAUCUGCACCCACGAAGCAGGAUUCCUUCUGUAAAUGGCCGAUUCCAGAUCUGGGAUAGGAAAUCUACGCCACCAAGGAAGCUACCAGAGCCUAUUAGAGCCCCAGCGACAGGACCCAGGAGCCAGCCUGAGGGAGGCUCCCACUGCCCAGGACAGGUCCAGGAGCAUCCAGGAGAACAGUCAUCACAAUGGGCCCAAGUUGUCAGCCCUGAACCAUGAGCUUAAGGUGAUACUCACACAAUCAACAGGCCAUUCAGCAGAUCACCAUGGAGAUGCUGUAGGUCCACAGUAACUGAAAAACUAGUGGGAAAAGGGAAGUCAGGAAGCUUUUCCCUCUUUCCUAGCAACAGGUAUCACUGAAUGACCAAUAGACAGGCCAAAGUCUCCUCUGUAGGUGGACCCUAGAUAUUGCCUGACAGACACGGAUGGAAUGAGCGUGAUGUCCUAGUGGAAUAAGACAUGGGUCAUUGGUGGCUGCGAGUGACACAGAAUGGGACAAGCAGCAUGGGACGGCAGCCACACCAGCAGGAAUAAGUGCCCCCCAACAAGGGAGCAAAUGACAGUGGGAGUAGACCUGAUGCUAGACCUAGCUAGGACAGUGGGAGAUGCACGGCAGAGGAACCUUAACCACAGCCACGCACACAACAGGAGACCAAGAAUGGCCAGGAUAAUGGCAGAUGCUUCCACCAAUGACCGUGCUGCUUAGCCACAGGUCACUGAUGGACCGUGGGACAACACUGUCAAGAAACUGUGGCUCCCUGUGGUUCUUCAGGGUGGUGCGGUGGCCACACUUUUCUAUCAACAGGAAGGCAGUCCUGACUCCCCAGGUGUGCCUGGUGGACUCUCCA